CUAACAUUAAUUGCUUGCAAUGUUAUUGAAAGCCAAGAUGUACUUACAUAGAAUAAUACAAUAUGUACAAAACCACAUCUGAUAUAUAUUUCCUCUGUGUUGAGAGCACUUAUAUAAUGCAAUUGUUUUUGAAUGUGGUCAUAGUUUAGUGGUGGUUACAUUAUUAAUGAACAAAUAGUAACAUAUUAGGCUAUGGAUCCCAAACAGAAAACUAUGGUUCCAAUACUUAAUAUGAAUUAUAAUACACUGAACAGUGCUCAUUGCUGCCCACUACUGGGAGAGAAAGGUUUCUGUAGCAGUGCAUGGGGACACAUCUCAUAUGCCCUAGCCUAGAACACCAACAUGUUUAAUAAUUAGGUGAUACAAAUGUAUUUGCAAGACAAGGACAUUACAUACAAUACAUUUAACAGACAAUGCCGUAAUCAUUUCAAAUGUGGCAGGAGACAACAUUGAGCUAAAUGUAUAGUUGCCAUUUUAUUAAAUACUGCCAGUGCCAUCACAUGUGUUGUGUAAUGUAUUAUAUGAAUGGACAGACAGAGCUACAAACCACUCGAGAGAACAAGACCGGGCAUCAUUAAUGAAUAUCCUGCAGCAAUUUCUUGCACGGCACAUUUACAUUGUACCACUUCUUAUCAUGUUGCGUUGUGAUUUAAUCCGUGUAACUACCUUCCCAAGAGUCAGUCCAUCAUGCCUUUACUUGUAUCCCUAAAUUAGUUACACUCUCCACAAAUAUGUUUUGACAUGAGCUAAGGUCUCACUGUCUAUGUAUCAAUGAUAAUCACUGUCUUCUCCUCUGCACUGCUAUGCCAGCCAAUGUCUUUUUUAUCAGUGUUAAUGUCUAAGUUAAUAUCUGUGUCUCAUUAUCUGUUUGAAUGUCCAUGUGUCAGUCAAAGUCACCUCCACUUCAUCAACGUGUCAGUAGAGUCCUUCUCUUUGUGUGUGACAUAGUCAGUCAAUGUAUCCUCGCUUAUGUCAAUUAAUCAGUCACUAACUACUCAUCUGUGUCAGCCAAAUGUGUCAGUCAAUGUCCCAUAUGCGGCGAUGAUGCAGAAAACAAAAUCAUUUAUCUCCCAGUCAGCCGAUGUCUACUCAUCAGAGUUACAUGUUAACCAGUCUUUUCUCAUGAGUGUCCAUGUGUUAGUUAAAUGGAUACUCUAAGCAGUUUUGAAAUGGUUGUGGUGUUUGAUGUCUCUUGGUACUAUCCUAUUGUUCACUGUAAAUCCAACCUAGAUGAUGAAUGUCCAUAUGUUGGUUCUCCCUCCCAAACCCUCUGCCACUAGAGGAUAUGAGUAAUAUGAAGGUUAUUGUUCUACGAGCUCAUACCAGGGAUGAGCAGCAGUACUAUGCUGAGAGCCAUCAACUGCAACAUGCAAAACAUUAGUCUGAGCAGCAGAGAGAGGGUGGGAACCCAGUGACUCUCAUUCAGUGUCAAACCAAUUUAAAACAGUUUAACAUUGAACAGUGGGCCAGCCCCAG